ACUCAAAAAUAUACAUAUCCCCAAAGUGCACUUUAAUUCUAUCGGUAAUAUGCUAAACAAACAAUGUUGGUUCCGCUACGUCAAUUUGUCGAUGUUCUAAUUGAGUUGUUAAGAGCUGCCGAUAACUAGCGAUGAAAACGCGAUAGUCACCACCGCCACAUAUCAAUCUGUACGGGUUGCCGCCCAGACUUUCGCGGGAAUUAAUUCAUUGCUCUCCGAGUUUUAUUAAAAUAUGUAAGUGCAAGAAGCGUGAAACAAUUUUCUUUUUGUGGUUCGCUCGACCGUCGUCCGAGAGCGGUUAGUCUGUGAGGAGUGCAUGGGCGCCGCGGUCGUCCGGUCGUGUCUUGUAGUACCGAGCCGCGGGUGCUAGCUGUCAAAGCCGGUGUUGUUAUGGAACCAGUCAGCUGCUGAACAGCGACACGAAAAUGCACAUCCUGGAGAUCGGUGCCGAUCAAGAAGGAGAUGAGAGCGGCAGCGCACGCACCGCUGAAGCAGCAUUUCGCACAGUGCCCAAAGAUCACACCACUUUCCUCGUUUGGAGAAUCACGGAAUCGAACACGGAACUAUUGCCACGCACUCACUACGGCACAUUUUACGACGCGGAAGCUUACUUGGUCUACUCUUGCUCUUUGCCGGGACAGCCGGCAGGGCCUGAUGUUAUUAGACGAGAAAUAAAAGAGAACGGCAAUGGAGAGGUGCUGGAGCGACACAUCCACGCUUGGGGCGGGGAGCGCAGCGCCGGCCUCGCGGGGCUCGCGUUGCGUCGCGGGGUGCAACUUGCAGCCUACCUCGCGGCCCCGACUGUGGUACACCGCGAGGCCUCCACCAAGGAGACCCCUCGUCUGCUUUCUUACUUCAGAGAUGGAAUUAGGAUCCUCCGAAGUGGCUCUGGCAACCUGAAUGGCGGCGCUCGCCUGUACCGCGUGCGCGGGCGCCGGCCGGUGCUGGUGCAGCUGGAGCCGGUCUCGUGGGCGCAGCUCGCCACCGACGGCGUGUUCGUGCUCGACACCUCGUCGCUACUCGUGCUGUGGCUCGGCCGCACCGCUAACCUUGUGGAAAAAAUAUUUGGCGCCAAGAUCGCAUACCGGAUGGCUCGCGGUGCGGACAAGGGCAUGAUGGCGCGUCGCAUCGCGAUCGCUCACGACGGCUACGAGCAGACGCUGCCGGCCAGCGACCGCGCGCUGCUGGACGCGCUGCUCGAGCUGCGAGCGCGAGCACUGCGCCCCGCCGCGCCGCCCGCCGACCCGCCCCGCCCCGCGCGCCUCUACCGCGCCACGCCGCCGCCGCGCCCCGCGCCCCUCGCCGUGCCCGCGCAGAGACCUGCAGCCAGGCUCGAGGAGAUAAAGCGAGCACCCCUGUUCAGAGAAGACCUGGCUGAUGACGGCGUCUACAUAGUAGACAGUGGCAGCCGAGGAGUAUGGGCGUGGGUGGGCCCGUCAGCGACUGGUGCCGCAGCUCGGGGCGCCCUGGCGGCUGCGCGAGGGCUGGCGCGAGCGCGUCGCAUGAUAGUGCCGGUGUCGGCCGCUCCGGCUGGCCGGGAGCCGCUGGAGUUCGCGGCGUUGUUCCACAACUGGCGCUGGUGCGACGCCCGACGUGACGGUAGACUGCGCGCCGCACGCUCCGCUACAACCAGGCUGGAUGCCGUCAGUCUAGCUACUAAUGCAUGGCUCGCAGCCGAGGCGCAGCUGCCGGACGACGGUUCGGGCGCGCUGCGCGUGUGGCGCGUGCGGCGGCGCGGCGCGGACGCGGAGGACGUCAACAAGGAGGCGCUGGCCGAGGUGGAGCGCCCACAAGCCGCGGUCUUCUACGACAGAGACUGCUACAUUGUGCUCUACACGUACCACGCGCCCACCGGAGACCAGACCCUGCUCUACUACUGGAUGGGUGGCUCUUCGCCCAAUGAUCUGAGGAACUUGGGCGCGAAAGAAGCCAAAGACCUCUACACCAAGCUGGGGCGUUCUCCAGUACAGGCAUGGGUGUACCAAGGGAAAGAACCUGCGCAUUUCCUUCAGAUCUUCAAGGGUCGUAUGAUCACUUAUGUGGGCAGUGCCACAGAUUAUGACCCAACUGGUCGCCGCUUGCUAGCUCCGGCUCGAGUACUCAUCCGCGUGUCGGGGCAAUACGCACGCGAGGCCCGGGGCGCCGAGGUGCGGGAGGGCGCCAGCGCGGAGGGCGCCGGGCCGGGCGCCUGCUACGUGCUGCGAGACGCCGCAAGAGUGUGGGUGUGGUGCGGCGCCAGCGCCACGGGCGACGAGAGGGAGGUCGCCAAGAAUAUGGCCGCCUCUGAACAUACUCUUGUUAUGCAAGGUAAAGAGAAGCCGGACUUCUGGACUGCGCUAGGCAACCGCCGUCACCUGCUAGUCCCGUCCCCUCUGAAGGAGGUGCAACGCCCUCUGCCGCCGCGUCUCUUCUACGUGUCUCUUGGGGUGCCUGCCCAGUAUUCAUUUGAAGAGAUAGUAUCGUUCAGUCAGUACGACCUAGCGCCGGAGAUGGUGGGCGUGGUGGACGCGCACGACGCCGUGUUCGUGUGGCUCGGCCAGCACUGCUGCCCGCGAGCUAAGGACGACCCUCGGGCCAUAGCGCUCGCCUAUCUCGCGCAAGACCCCGCAGCAAGAGAUGCCGGAACACCUAUCUUAGCACUGAGCCAGGGACGUGAACCACCGCAUUUCACGGGUUUCUUCCCUCAUUGGAAGCAAUCCAUGUGGAAGGGUCACAAAACGUUCAGUGCAAUCAUCAGUGCUUUAGAAGGCAAGGCAAUCGUUCAAAGCGGCAACAGUGCACUGCAGAGUGGCAACAGUGCCAACCGCUUUGACCAGUAUGAAAAAUAUCCUUUGGCAGUCCUGAAGGGGCCUAAAGAACAUCUUCCACCGGACGUCGAUCCCCUCACUAAAGAGUUGUACCUGACUCACGACGACUUCGUGUCGACAUUCAGCAUGCCCUACAGUGAGUUCCGUUCGUUGCCCGGGUGGAAGCAAAAGGAUCUCAAGAAAACAGUCGGCUUAUUCUAAAUAAGACUACAGAAGUCUUAGAUAUAAUGUUCUCAUACGAGGCAUCUGUAAUUCUCUAUCACAACUCUGUCGAAUGUUGCCGUUAAUUUUUGGCAAUGGCAAUCAAUUGCGUGGGAGUUGCGAACUCGUUAUAACUGCCUCGCGUGGGAACAAGCUAUUAGAUCGAUUAAGUGUUUUAAAUAUAUGGAUUUAUUACACAGUAAAAAGAAAACUUAUAUUUAGCAAUAGAUUCAACUUUAACUAUAGAUUGUUUUAAAAUACUUGCUAUAAGACCAAAAAAAUAUGAUAUAAAAAGUUAACAAGUGGUAAAGAUUGCACUUACAUGUUAUUAAAAUAUCACUUAUUCGUUUGCUAUUUAACUAUAAAUUUAUAGAAAUAGUGUUGCGACUGCAUAGCAUUUUAGUAGGUAUUUUGUAACUCAUAUUUGUUGUCACAUGCAUAACUAUAUUAUAGAUUAAUAUUGAUUAUUAUGAAUGAAUAAAACUGAUUUUGUUAAAAUAUUAUUAGUUUAUUUAAGAAAUAAAACAAUACAUUUUAAAA